UACAGAGGUCUCAAGCGUUGUUCGGAUUCAUUGGGCGUAAAGGGUGCGUAGGCGGGUCUUUAAGUCAGGGGUGAAAUCCUGGAGCUCAACUCCAGAACUGCCUUUGAUACUGAGAAGCUUGAGUCCGGGAGAGGUGAGUGGAACUGCGAGUGUAGAGGUGAAAUUCGUAGAUAUUCGCAAGAACACCAGUGGCGAAGGCGGCUCACUGGCCCGGUACUGACGCUGAGGUGCGAAAGCGUGGGGAGCAAACAGG
rnacentral:rRNA from 1 species